rnacentral:rRNA from 1 species
UACGUAUGGUGCAAGCGUUAUCCGGAUUUACUGGGUGUAAAGGGAGCGCAGGCGGCACGGCAAGCCUGAUGUGAAAGCCCGCGGCCCAACCGCGGGACUGCAUUGGGAACUACCGGGCUGGAGUGCCGGAGAGGUAGGCAGAAUUCCUAGUGUAGCGGUGAAAUGCGUAGAUAUUAGGAGGAACACCAGUGGCGAAGGCGGCUUACUGGACUGUAACUGACGUUGAGGCUCGAAAGCGUGGGGAGCAAACAGG